AUGGUCGGCAGGGUUCUCACAUUGCUCAAAGAGGGAAUUCCACCAUCGAACAUCCUUGCUAUGACAUUCACAACUGCUGCUGCCUCAGAAAUGAGGGACCGGAUAGGGGCAGUGGUCGGGAAGGCAGUUGCCAAAGAGAUCAUAAUAAGCACAUUUCACUCCUUCUGCUUGCAGCUUUGCAGGACCCAUGCUGAAAAGCUAGGGCGCACAUCUGAAUUCAUAAUAUAUGGCCAUGGGCAACAGAGGAGGGCCAUUAUUGAGGCAGAACGCCUGUUGGAGCAUGGCAAAAGUGAUGGUUUAGGAGAUGCAGUUAAGCAGUAUGAUGGAGAUAUUAAACAUUCUUUUAAAGACAAAGCUAAGAAGUGGUUGAAGUUUGUUACACAGGCGAAAUCUUCAGGACAAACUCCUGAAGAAUAUGAAAAGAAGGGCGAUUUGACAGGAGCUUCGAUUCUUCGGCACUAUAAUGAAAUACUAGUGUCUUGUAAUGCUCUUGAUUAUCAUGAUUUUAUCAACUCAUCCAUAACGCUUCUCACGAAGUUUCCUGAAGUAUACAAAGAGUGCCAGAACACAUGGCAGGCAAUAGUAGUUGAUGAGUUUCAGGAUACCAGUGCUAUGCAAUAUUUUCUUCUGAAGCUUCUAGCUUCUCACAAUCAUAUAACCAUAGUUGGUGAUGAUGAUCAGUCCAUCUUCAGUUUCAAUGGUGCGGAUGUUUCUGGCUUUGAUUCAUUCCGUAGAGACUUUCCAAAUCAUAAAGAGAUCAGGUUGAACAAGAACUACCGCUCAACACGGGCAAUUGUCGAAGCAGCCACAGCUCUUAUUCACAACAACACUAAACGGUGUAAUCAUAAACUUGCUGAGACAGACAACCCUUCUGGAAGUAAGAUCACUGUUAAGGAGUGCCAUAGCGAAGAUUCACAAUGUGCAUUUGUCAUUGACAAAAUCAUUGAAACUACAUCUAGUUCAGCUGAAGGCCACGACUUUGGUAAAAUUGCUGUCCUAUAUUGA
rnacentral:rRNA from 1 species